rnacentral:rRNA from 1 species
CUACGGGGUGCACCAGUCGGGGAUAUUGCACAAUGGAGGAAACUCUGAUGCAGCGACGCCGCGUGAACGAAGAAGGCCUUCGGGUCGUAAAGUUCUGAUGUGAGAGAAGAAGAUAGUGACGGUAUCUCACCAGCAAGCACCGGCUAACUACGUGCCAGCAGCCGCGGUAAUACGUAGGGUGCAAGCGUUGUCCGGAAUUACCGGGCGUAAAGGGAGCGUAGGUGGUUAUAUAAGUCUUUAGUAAAAGGCAUUGGCUCAACCAAUGUAGGCUAGAGAAACUAUAUAACUUGAGUACAGUAGAGGUAAGUGGAAUUCCUAGUGUAGCGGUGAAAUGCGUAGAUAUUAGGAGGAACACCAGUGGCGAAGGCGACUUACUGGGCUGUAACUGACACUGAGGCUCGAAAGCGUGGGGAGCAAACAGGAUUAGAUACCCGUGUAGUC